rnacentral:rRNA from 1 species
GAUGAAUGCUGGCGGCGUGCCUAACACAUGCAAGUCGAGCGGCAGCGCGAGUAGUUUACUACUUGGCGGCGAGCGGCGGACGGCUGAGUAACGCGUAGGAACGUGCCCCAAAGUGAGGAAUAACUGCCCGAAAGGGUGGCUAAUGCCGCAUACGAUCUUCGGAUUAAAGUCUUCGGACGCUUUGGGAGCGGCCUGCGUUA